rnacentral:rRNA from 1 species
GUCCACGCCGUAAACGAUGAUAACUAGCUGUCCGGACACUUGGUGUUUGGGUGGCGCAGCUAACGCAUUAAGUUAUCCGCCUGGGGAGUACGGCCGCAAGGUUAAAACUCAAAUGAAUUGACGGGGGCCUGCACAAGCGGUGGAGCAUGUGGUUUAAUUCGAAGCAACGCGCAGAACCUUACCAGCGUUUGACAUGGCAGGACGACUUCCAGAGAUGGAUUUCUUCCCUUCGGGGACCUGCACACAGGUGCUGCAUGGCU